ensembl:lncRNA
AGGCCUUGCUCACCAACGCUUGGUCUCCCCAUGUCAUUCUUCCCUUUAACUUCCAGCUGAGUCUCCAUCUGGAGCGUGGAACCCACCACGCUUACUAAUUAUGCCUGGGCUUCUAAGACCCACUCGAGAAGGUGUCUAGGGUGUGACACCUUCCGCUAUUCGAGAGGGCGCCUGCGGCCUACAAGUGCAGCCACCACAGCAGCUGUCCCUUAAACCAGGAGCACUGCAUCGGGUGAGCAGCUAGUUCAUCUCCAGGAAUAGCCCUUGUUGGCAGGGACCCAGGAAAUUCGUUGGUGGACCCCUGCUGAUCUUUCUGGAUGGCCUGUUAGGUUCUAACUGGAGUCUACAAUGAGUGCUCCAGGGAAGGCUGCACAAACUACUGCAGAAACCUGGAGGAAGAAGAAAACUAAAAGUAGACACCAUUUACAGGUCUUCAUACUUUUCCUUCAGUGAACAUUAUGGCCUAAUACUCUCAUUCUGAGAAAUGAUGCUCAACCCCAAAUAAAAAGCAACGUACCUUAAUAAUGAAGAUGGACAGUUUGUAACUUGCUCCCACCACACAAUCCCACUUGAUGGUCAUGACAAAACCUUACUGAGAAGGCAGGGCAGGCAGGACAACCUUGUGCCCAGCAGACACCAUGGACUUGCUUCAAGUCUCCCAGCUAGUCAUCUUUUAUAUAAGAUCUUCAGGUUUCCUUUUUAUUCCAAAAACAUGGAAUGAAUAACUUCCCCCCCCUUCCCCAUAAUCUUAGUAUUUUUAAAAAUACCUUGUUUUAAGUCUCAACUUUAUACUCUUAAAUAAAACACUUCUAAAUAGCUCACUUAU